GCCUUGAUCCCAUUAGGACGAAAUGUCACACCAGCAACAAUAACUGUAUCUCUGGCCUUAGCCAGUUGCUCAAGAUUUCUUUACAGGCUAUCUUAAAGUGCUGCAGUUAAUAUUGUAUUGGUGCUAUAAAAGCAGGCACCGCCAACGCCUCUGUUGUGCGUGUAACAAACAUCAAAGUCCGCUGCAGCCACACCGCCUGCAGAUAGUGAGAAGGCCUCGAGAUAGUGAGGGACAUAAAGACUCUCUUUCUUCUUUUACUUCCCAAAACAGUUUCAUCAUAUCAUUUGCACACAAGAGGCCACAAAUGGUCCCUGGGCACCUUGGGGGUAAUUGCCAUGUUGUUCAAUUUGCCUCAAAUGAACGACUCAGGAAUGAUAAACGCUCUUUUAUAAUAAGCUCGCUACCGCUGGAAUAAACAAGGGCUCAGGCCCAAUUUGCUUCACAUGUAUGUUAGAUCCUAACAUUGGUCAGAUGUUCGUAAAAGACAGCAGAGAAAUGAAGAAAAGAAGCUGUUUCCAAGCAAGCCUGUGAAAACCAGAGCCCACAUCCAGGUGCUCCAGCCAGGGUGAUGAUGAGGAGAAGCGGCAGGAGCACUUCCCAGCCCCGGGCUCUGGGAUAACUUCAAGGUCUUCCGAGCAUCCCUGGAUGGAGGAAAGAUGCUACUUUCCUAUUCAAGAUUUGUGAAACCCUUUUCCCAGAUGUCUCAAAUCCAAAGCAAACUAGGACCUUUUUUGAAAAUUGAGAGCACAAAGAAACCCAUGCUCACUGCUCUCCACAUUCUGAUAUGGGAUUUCAAAUCACCUCUGAUAUGAGAGUUUAGAUUAGGAUGCAGAAGUCCACAUAAACGGCUUUCCACUGGUGUUGCAUUGUACUCCCUACCCUAGGAAGAGUUUAUUCGAUAACAAUAUCAGGUUUUUUACUUAUGAAGAUAAUAAAGGGUAUUUCUUAGCUCUGGACAGCAAAAUGCAGGUGUUUCACACACUGGAUAUACAGCAAUGACAUAGUACCCAGUCUGCCCUGAAAAGAGAGGUGGAGGAUUGUAUAAAUAUUCCUGGCUUCUCAUUCCUCUGCCAGAAAUGAUAAAAUGGAAGAAGAUAUAUAAUUUAUCUUUUAUAUACCUUUCCUAUAAACCUUUCCUUGGGGUUUCUCUUACUUUAAUAUUUUUGAAUGUUUUCACAUUAAUGUGCUCAGAAUUUUGGGGGAAUUUGACACAGAGUUUAUUUUCCAAUUAUUUUUCCUUCUUUGUGGUUUUUCACAAAGAAAUCUUUUAAAAUGUAUAAUAUAUUGGAAAGCUACACAGCAUUGUAGAAAGGUGGCUGAGAAAAGAGGAAGCAAAAGGACAUUGGCUCUUAUGCAGAAGCUACCCCUAUAGGGUGAAAGAACUUUCCCCUCCUUGCAGAAAAAAGAGACAGGAGAAUAUUAUCUCCCAUUUUUUCUCCACAGCCCCCCUUGGGGAAGAUCUUUUCCAAGAUCUUAUCACAAAGAAACCAUUGGGGUUCAGCCACUUAACCAAGCAGGUGUGCUCAUGUGGCUCCAGGCAUCUUUUGGUGUGUGGUAACACUGCUGCUUCCUCAUCCCCAGCUUGGGUAUGUGGAGCCAGGGAUGGAUUGAUGCUGAGAGAUGAGUGGCACCUGGCUACUCACUGUCCCUACUGUCUUGAAACUGCAGCAAGUGGCCUGCCUGGUGUCUGGAUCCCACUUAAACCAAUAUUAAAUAUUUAAUAUUUUAUGAGGCCAUGGAAUGGUAACUCAGCCUGGCACAGACCUCCAGAAGUGCCUACCCCAAAGUCAGACUAGCUCUGGGAUCAACACCAGACUGCUCAGGAGUUGGUUUUCAAAACCUUCAUGGCUGGAGCCAGCACAAGCUUGUGGGGCAACCUCCUCCACUGCCUGACUUGCCCUCGUACCAGCCUGAGUCUCUUGUUUCAAGCUCUGCUCUCCUACCCUACCCCACCACAGAGACCCUGGCUCCACUCUGAUGACCUUCCUGUUGGCACUGGGCAGCUCUUGGGUCCUCCCAAACCUGUCCCUUCUCCAGACUGUACAAGUCCAAUUCUAUCAGUUUUCACUUAAAACAACUCAGGGAUUCAAAAUACCACCAUAAAUAAAAUCCAGCUUCUACAAAAACUCAGGUUUUUCUCUGGUUAUCUCUGGUUUAUCUAUGGCACCUCCAUCAUUGUUUUUCUAAAUGAUCACAGUUACAGGUAUAGUUCUGCUAUAGUUAAAAAAUAAUUUUAAACCUUCCUUAACCAGAAAACCUAUGUUUCAUCUUUGGAUCUGUAUCUCCAAUUUUUCCAGUGAGCUAAGAAGGACUGGCCUUUGAGGCUGUGUAGUGAAAGGAGUACAAUCCUGACUAUUUCCUGCCAGACCCCAUGGAAAGGGAGAAC